rnacentral:rRNA from 1 species
AUGCAAGUUGAGCGAUCGACCCCAAUGAGUAUGAAGUGCUUGCACUGAUUAUGAUUUGGAUUUUGUCGAAAGCGGCGGACGAGUGAGUAACAGGUUGGAACCUACCCCGUACACAGGGAUAACUAUCUGAAAAGAUAGCUAAUACCGGAUAGUCCCGAAAGGGUAAAGCUCCGGCGGUACGGGAGGGGCCUACCUCUUAUCAGUUAGUUGGUAAGGUAAUGGCUUACCAAGACUAUGACGAGUAGUUGGUCUGAGAGGAUGAUCAGCCACGCUGGGACUGAGACACGGCCCAGACUCCUACGGGAGGCAGCAGCAGGGAAUUUUCCGCAAUGGACGAAAGUCUGACGGAGCAACACCGCGUGAAGGAUGACACCCCUUUGGGGCGUAAACUUCUUUUAUAGGGGAUAUAAUGACGGUACCCUAUGAAUAAGAGACGGCUAAUCACGUGCCAGCAGCCGCGGUAAUACGUGAGUCUCAAGCGUUAUCCGGAAUUAUUGGGCGUAAAGGGUUCGUAGGCGGGUUUGUAAGUAGGAUGUUCCAACUCACGGCUUAACUGUGAGAUUGCAUCCUAAACUGCAUACCUAGAAGAUGGUAGAGGUCAAUGGAAUUUCUGAUGUAGGGGUAAAAUCCGUAGAUAUCAGAAGGAACACCAAUAGCGAAGGCAAUUGACUGGGCCAAUCUUGACGCUAAAGAACGAAAGCGUGGGGAGCAAACAGGAUUAGAUACCCUGGUAGUCCACGCUGUAAACAUUGGAUACUAGGUGUAUGCGUCGUCGAACGCGUAUGCGCCGUAGCUAACGCAAUAAGUAUCCCGCCUGAGAAGUACGAUCGCAAGAUUAAAACUCAAAGGAAUAGACGGGGGCCUACACAAGCGGUGGAGCGUGAGGUUUAAUUCGUCGAUAAACGGAGCACCUCACCCAGGUUUGCAUGUAGCUGCACGCCUCUAGAAAUAGAGGAAGCCUUAGAGGUGCUACACAGGUGCUGCAUGGUUGUCGUCAGCUCGUGCUGUGAAGUGUACGGUUAAGUCCGAUAACGAGCGCAACCCUCAUUGCUAGUUGUAUUUUUCUAGCGAGACUGCCGUGUAUAACACGGAGGAAGGUGGGGAUGACGUCAAAUCAGCAUGGCUCUUACACCUGGGGCAACACUCGCGCUACAAUGGGAUGUACAAUGAGCGGCGAACCCGCGAGGGUAAGCGAAUCUCUUAAAGCAUCUCUCAGUUCGGAUUGCAGGCUGAAACUCGCCUGCAUGAAGUUGGAAUCGCUAGUAACCGUGAAUCAGAAUGUCACGGUGAAUAUGUUCCUAGGCCUUGUACUCACCGCCCGUCAUGUCAUGGGAGUUGGGAGCGCCAGAAGCUAUCUUAGCCAACCUUUUAGGGGGCGGAUAACCAAGGUGAAACCAAUGACUGGGAUAAAGUCGGAACAAGGUA